GCCGCAGUGGCGUAGCUGGCUAACGCGCCGGCCUGUGGAGCCGGUGAUCGCGGGUUCAAAUCCCGCCUGCGGCC
rnacentral:tRNA from 5 species